rnacentral:rRNA from 1 species
CGGAAGGAUCAUUGUCGAAACCUGCAAAGCAGAAAGACCAGCGGACCCAUUACAACACCCAGGGGUGACCCCAACCCCUGACGCUGAGUGUGUGCAGCCCUGCCUUGCGCCCUCAGCAUAAAACGAACCCAGGCGCGGAACGCGUCAAGGAAUCAUAACGAAACGAGCUCCUGCCGUGGCCCCGGGGACGGUGAUCGCCGCAGCAGCUGUGUUGUGCUUGGUUAAGUCUAAAAUGACUCUCGGCAACGGAUAUCUCGGCUCUCGCAUCGAUGAAGAACGUAGCGAAAUGCGAUACUUGGUGUGAAUUGCAGAAUCCCGUGAACCAUCGAGUCUUUGAACGCAAGUUGCGCCUGAAGCCAUCAGGCUGAGGGCACGUCUGCCUGGGCGUCAAACACCGAUGCCCCCCCAAAUCCCCUCGUCACUCUCCCCUGAGUGCCCGGGGAGUGUGGGGGUCGGAUGAUGGCCUCCCGUGUCUUGGCUCGCGGUUGGCCCAAAGUCGAGUCCUCGGUCACGGUUACCGUGGUGACAGGUGGUUGUCGGUCGCUCGGUACCCCGUCACGUGCGCCGGACACGAAUCGAGACUCUCUUGAUUACCCCAACGCAUCCCCGUUUGGGUGCCUCUGAUGUGACCCCAGGUCAGGCGGGCUACC